GCCGGAAUGGUGGAAUGGUAUACACGAUCGUCUCAAAAGCGAUUGCCCGAAAGGGCUUGUGGGUUCGAAUCCCACUUCCGGCACCC
rnacentral:tRNA from 1 species